CCUAGCGGAAAAGAGGAGGUGCAGAAAAGUCCUAGUUUUAUAGCUUAGUACUUUUUGUCAUGUCUACAGUUCUUAGCCCUGGUGACUUUUUAAAAAAUAUCGCUGGCAAACCAGUGCUCGUUAAACUAAACUCAGGAGUAGAUUUUAAAGGCGUCUUGGCUGCACUUGAUGGGUGUAUGAACAUUGCUUUAGAAAAUGUCGAGGAAUUUGAGAACGGGCAAUUAAAAAAAAAAUAUGGAGACGCUUUUAUUCGGGGAAAUAAUGUCUUAUAUAUUAGCUCCUUAACUCCAAGGGUUUAAGCUGUUCUCUCAAUAGAAAAAUAAGCUUUCCAAAUUAUCGGCCCUUAUUCUUAAAAGUAAUUACUGAACUAUUAAAAAAAUUAU